rnacentral:rRNA from 1 species
AUUGAACGCUGGCGGCAUGCCUUACACAUGUAAGUCGAACGGUAACAGGUCUUCGGAUGCUGACGGGUGGCGAACGGGUGAGUAAUACAUCGGAACGUGCCCGAGAGUGGGGGAUAACGAGGCGAAAGCUUUGCUAAUACCGCAUACGAUCUCAGGAUGAAAGCAGGGGACCGCAAGGCCUUGCGCUCACGGAGCGGCCGAUGGCAGAUUAGGUAGUUGGUGGGAUAAAAGCUUACCAAGCCGACGAUCUGUAGCUGGUCUGAGAGGACGACCAGCCACACUGGGACGGAGACACGGCCCAGACUCCUACGGGAGGCAGCAGUGGGGAAUUUUGGACAAUGGGCGCAAGCCUGAUCCAGCCAUGCCGCGUGCAGGAUGAAGGCCUUCGGGUUGUAAACUGCUUUUGUACGGAACGAAAAGACUCUGGUUAAUACCUGGGGUCCAUGACGGUACCGUAAGAAUAAGCACCGGCUAACUACGUGCCAGCCGCCGCCGUAAUAC